UACAGAGGGGGCAAGCGUUAUUCGGAAUUAUUGGGCGUAAAGGGCGCGUAGGCGGCCUUUCAAGUGACGGGUGAAAUCCCUCGGCUUAACCGAGGAACUGCCUGUCAGACUGGGAGGCUUGAGACCGGGAGAGGUGAGUGGAAUUCCCAGUGUAGCGGUGAAAUUCGUAGAUAUUAGGAAGAACACCGGUGGCGAAGGCGGGUCUCUGGGCCGAUACUGACGCUGAGGAGCGAAAGCGUGGGGAGCGAACAGG
rnacentral:rRNA from 1 species